CUAGCAUAGAACAGUACAAAGAUUUCACAUCAUCAUCUGGAGAAGUGGCUGUAUUGUAUUUAGCACUAGCUUACAGAGUCAACUAAAGAAGCAAGCAAUGACUAGGGCAAACAAAACCAGGCACAGUGAGAAAACAAUUUUUAUGGGAACAUGACGACUGGUUACACAAGCAGGUAAUGUUUAGCAGUAUGAUUCCCACAGAUAAAGAAAAAUUCCUUUUAAUAUGUAAAAUAGCCUUGCUUUCAUUGUCAUCCUUUUGAAAUCAUAAUUACUGGAAUCACAGCAAUGAAAAAAUUAACAAACAUCUAGGGCAUUUGCACAGCUAUGGAGCUUGGCACAAAGCAUGAAUAUGGACGCUGAGGUUAGCAAUAGGCUAAUUUGGGAGAUAUUUGUAGCACCUAAACAUCAUCCCCUAGCUGAGGUGUUAUGCAUGAAUUAGGUUGAUAUUUGUAAACUGCCGUGGGAAGUGAACAGAACUAGAAAGAAGCUUCUCCACAGGACGCUGCAGAUCAGAGGUUUGUGUUUAGGUCAUCUCACACAUAAUCCAGGAGGCUACUGGUUUAAGACUCAUGUCCUACUCAUAGCUGUAGUCUCACACCAGUAACUGGUUCUGUUGCACUGGAUUGCAUUGUAGCCAGUUGAUAUUUACGCUGGUAUGAAAUCAGGAUCAGAUCCUGUUAAGGUAAGAAAAAAAACUGACCAAGCAAUCCUGCAAUUUGCCCUGAAAUUAUCUAUGAUAUGACUAUGCUAAUGAAAGGCACACCAGGAUCAAUGGAGUCCAAACAAAUUCAUAAUUGAGAAAACAUUAAUUAAUUAAUUAAUAAUUAAGUUAUUGCACAUCAGAAACGACAGGAGAGGAAAUCUAGGCAGAAUUUUGGAGGGUGGAGUGGAUUUAUCCCAUUCACAACAGCAUUUAAAUUAGAUUGUCUGUGCUUCCUUGCAACCUAUAUUGUGUACUUUACACAGAGUUAUUUGCAAAGCAAAGAAGGAACUGAACAUCAUUGUACUAAAACACCCAGGUGUUUGCAGUGAUGACAUCUUUGUGAUCUCUUGGAAGGGUGCUGCUGUAGCCCCUGUAAUAAGUUCUCUAACAAUUCUAAAUUUUGGUAUCUAAGGUUUCAAAAAAUUUUCUGUGACCCUUCUGUACAUUAUGAAAACUGUUAGAAAAAAACAUAUUAAAUGGGAAAGCCUAUAGUUAAAAAAAAAAAAUAAUAAAGGAAAAUCUUGCCCAGAGGCUAAGGAGUUCCAUAUGAAAAUUCAGCAUAGAUGUCAUCUUAUUUCAUAAUAAAAUCAGUUAGAUCAUUUGACAAAUGAAAUUACUGUUACCAGUUAAAAAAAAAAAAAA